GGGUCAGUAGGUUCGUCGUGCCACCGGUACGUACUGGUCUCACUGAUUCCUCCUUCCUGAAGAACCGUAAUGCCAUUAAUUUGGUGUUGCGGGGAAACAGGACUGUUACUUUGAAAAAAUUAGAGUGUUUAAAGCAAGCUAACGCUUGAAUACUUUAGCAUGGAAUAAUGAAAUAGGACGAUCGAUCCUAUUUUGUUGGUUUCUAGGAUUGACGUA
rnacentral:rRNA from 1 species